UGUUGCUUUCAGUCUGGCUCAUCUGAAGCGCCUCCUGCAGCAGCCUCACUGACUCGCACCUACGUGUCUCCUCUCCUCCUCCUGCUCCUCUCCUUCCACUGUGGUUGGUGGAUGCGUGCGGCCCACGUCCCUCCUCUCGUCCCUCCUCUUGUCCCUCCUCUCAUCCCUCGCUCCUCCAACCCCCUCCUCCCACACGCCACCGCUCCACUCCUUGGCCUGCUUGCCUCCUGAAAGGGAGGGAGAGGAGAUCAGGAAGGGGGGAGGGAGUGAGACAGAGCAAAGGAGAAGAACACAGAGAGGGAGGAGAGAGGCAGAAAGAGAAAAAUGAGAACUGAGAGCUGAGGAGCAGGUCGCCAUUACACUCACUUCCUUCCUCUCUCCCUCAGUGCAUUCUGGUUGCACUAAAUGCCAAAGUUAGACGUCCACCAGCACUCACUAGUAGUAAUGAACUUGUGCCUGUGCUUACUAGGCUCCAGCUUUCUCUUUUUUGCUGCGCCGGUCUCAUCAGGACCGAGCAGGCCGGCUGCGCGCCGACUGGCCGCCCAGGCCAGCCCGUACUUCCGCUCGUUCUUAAGCUUGUUCUCGGUGAGUCUCAGGCGCAGUUUCAAAGCCUCGUUCUCCUUCCGGUUGAGCGAGAUCUCCACCAGGUAGUCGUUCACCGUGUCCUCGAACAGCUUGGUGAUCUCGCACACGGACGCGCGCACCAGGCUGUCCAUCACGGCGGUCAGAUGCGCCUGGAACGUCUUCACCGAGUCCGCCAUGCCUCUUUACGCACCAGCUCUGCUAGAAAUAAACACACACAUACACUAUACUCACUCACUCUCUACUGCAUUACAUGAUCGCAUCACUAUUCUCCCUCUCAAAGUGCAUUAGAUUCAUUCAUACUUGUAUUCUUCGUGCUAAUUUUGCGGAAAACUGAUGUUUUUGGGGUUUUUUUUUUUACCCAGAGUGAAAAGUUUAAACCGAAAACAAACCCCUGUAUCUAUCAUCUUACAUAAACUGUCAUAUUCCCUAGUCUGAUCAUGAACUGCUCCUUAUUUACACUACAACUAAACCAACACUAAUGUGCAUUCUUAUAAUUAACCUAUUAGUGUUACUAAUUACUCUAAUAAUUACUCUGAUUGGACAACUUCACACACACACACACACACUGCUUUUUUAAAAAAAAAAACACUAUAUUAUCCGCACGCUACUCUACUCUCAGCUUCACACAAAUCUUCACAACAACAAUACACAGAAAUAAUCAAUUUAAACCUUCUAACCCGUUCACACAAGGUAGUACAACGUUACACCAAAAAGAAAUCAGGCGUUAUGGUCCCCUUCUCAACUCAAGUGCUGUUAAUUCUCGCCUAC
ensembl:lncRNA